CGGCGGAACACGUACGCAACCUUCCUUUAACUGGAGAAUAGCCCCUCGAAAGAGGGAUUAAUACUCCGUAACAUAAUGAAGUGGCAUCACUUUAUUAUUAUAGCUCCGGCGGUUAAAGAUGGGCGUGCGCCUGAUUAGAUAGUUGGCAGGGUAACGGCCUACCAAGUCUGCGAUCAGUAACUGGUGUGAGAGCACGACCAGUCACACGGGCACUGAGACACGGGCCCG
rnacentral:rRNA from 1 species